UCGAGAUUGUCUCUCGCAGUUCCCUGUGACACAUAAAACACAGGGUAAGGGUUGCGCAUGUUACCCGAUUUAACGGAGCGUCUCAAGAUACAUGCUGACGACAGCCGUGCACCACCUGAACUCAUGUCCUUGUGGGAAACCCGCCGUUUCUGGCAGGGUUCAUGAGUGUUUCCAGCCCUGGUAAGGUUCCUCGUUUGUUGACGAAUUAAGCCGCAUGAUCCACCGCUUGUGUGGGCCCCCGUCUAUUCCUUUGAGUUUUAGCCUUGCGGCCGUACUUCCCAGGCGGGAUACUUAACGCGUUAGCUUCGCCACGUGAAGGGUCGACACUUCACAUAGCCAGUAUCCAUUGUUUACAGCGUGGACUA
rnacentral:misc_RNA from 1 species